GUUUUCUCCAAAGCUUCUCCCAAAAGUGCUGCAGGGUAUCCUUUCAUGAUGAAUCUCUUCUCCAUCUCUUCCAUCUGUUCUCUGCAAGUGUCAGAUUUUGAACAAUUAUGUCUAAUUCUUCUAAAUUGAUUUUGAGGGAUGUUCUUUAACCAUACAGGUUUAUGGUGGCUGUUGUAAGGGAUGAAGCUGUUGCAGUCCACAUUCUUUUUGAAGGUCUUGGUG